rnacentral:rRNA from 1 species
GACGAACGCUGGCGGCGUGCCUAAUACAUGCAAGUCGAACGCUUCUUUCCUCCCGAGUGCUUGCACUCAAUUGGAAAGAGGAGUGGCGGACGGGUGAGUAACACGUGGGUAACCUACCCAUCAGAGGGGGAUAACACUUGGAAACAGGUGCUAAUACCGCAUAACAGUUUAUGCCGCAUGGCAUAAGAGUGAAAGGCGCUUUCGGGUGUCGCUGAUGGAUGGACCCGCGGUGCAUUAGCUAGUUGGUGAGGUAACGGCUCACCAAGGCCACGAUGCAUAGCCGACCUGAGAGGGUGAUCGGCCACACUGGGACUGAGACACGGCCCAGACUCCUACGGGAGGCAGCAGUAGGGAAUCUUCGGCAAUGGACGAAAGUCUGACCGAGCAACGCCACGUGAGUGAAGAAGGUUUUCGGAUCGUAAAACUCUGUUGUUAGAGAAGAACAAGGACGUUAGUAACUGAACGUCCCCUGACGGUAUCUAACCAGAAAGCCACGGCUAACUACGUG